rnacentral:rRNA from 1 species
AGGAAUGUAUAGCGAAAGCUAGCUGCAUCAGCAGCGUAGGCUAAAUUGGUGCAGCAUUGUCUCGUCAAAUAAAGUUCCGGGUAGGUUAUGACGAUGACAUUUCCUAUCUGUAUGUCUUGACCAAAUUACGUGCCAGCAGUCGCGGUAAUACGUAGAAGACUAGUGUUAUUCAUCUUUAAUAGGUUUAAAGGGUACCUAGACGGUAAAUCAAGUCCUAGAAGGAUACUAAUUUGACUAGAGUUAAAUGUGAGGGGGCUAUAAAGUACUGAUUAGUGUAGAGAUGAAAUUCUUUUAUACAAUGUAAGGCACUGGCAAAGGCGAAUGCAUCUCAUUAUGUAAUAACUGACGUUGAAGGACGAAGGCUAUGUGUAGCAAAUAGGAUUAGAUACCCAAGUAGUCGUAGCAGAAAAUUAUGAAUGUCAUAGGAUGGAUAACUUUACAUUUUUUUCAUAUAUUUGUUUGUUUUGACUUUUUUUUUUAAUUAGCAAAACAUAUACCUAUGAAAUUAAUCUAAAGAAACUUUUUUCUAUAAAUGAUAGUGUAAGCAUUCCACCUCAAGAGUAAUUUGGCAACAUUGGAACUGAAAUCAUUAGACCGUUUCUGAAACAAGUAGUGAAGUAUGUUGUUUAAUUUGAUAACCCGCAAAAUACCUUACCACAAUUUGAAUAGAAAUUUUUUUUAUACAAGUGCUGCACGGUUGUCUCCAGUUAAUGUCGUGAGAUCUUGGUUAGUUCCAUUAAAUUAACGUAAACCCUUACUUUAUUUUUAUAUAGAGUUGUUCCCCA